UAAGGAAUAUUGGUCAAUGGGCGGAAGCCUGAACCAGCCAUGCCGCGUGCAGGAAGACGGCCCUACGGGUUGUAAACUGCUUUUAUACGGGAAUAAACCCCCGAAUGUAUUCGGGGCUGAAUGUACUGUAAGAAUAAGGAUCGGCUAACUCCGUGCCAGCAGCCGCGGUAAUACGGAGGAUCCAAGCGUUAUCCGGAUUUAUUGGGUUUAAAGGGUGCGUAGGCGGCCUUUUAAGUCAGGGGUGAAAGACGGUAGCUCAACUAUCGCAGUGCCCUUGAUACUGAAGGGCUUGAAUACACUAGAGGUAGGCGGAAUGUGACAAGUAGCGGUGAAAUGCAUAGAUAUGUCACAGAACACCAAUUGCGAAGGCAGCUUACUAUGGUGUGAUUGACGCUGAGGCACGAAAGCGUGGGGAUCAAACAGGAUUAGAUACCCGCGUAGUCC
rnacentral:rRNA from 1 species